UACGGAGGAUGCGAGCGUUAUCCGGAUUUAUUGGGUUUAAAGGGUGCGCAGGCGGAUUUUUAAGUCAGCGGUCAAAUCGUGGGGCUCAACCCCAUCCAGCCGUUGAAACUGGCGGGCUGGAGUUGGAGAGAAGUACGCGGAAUGCGCGGUGUAGCGGUGAAAUGCUUAGAUAUCACGAAGAACCCCGAUUGCGAAGGCAGCCUGCCGCAGCGUUACUGACGCUGAAGCUCGAAAGCGCGGGUAUCGAACAGG
rnacentral:rRNA from 1 species